GACGAACGCUGGCGGCGUGCUUAACACAUGCAAGUCGAACGGAAAGGCCCUGCUUUUGUGGGGUGAUCGAGUGGCGAACGGGUGAGUAACACGUGAGUAACCUGCCCUUGACUUUGGGAUAACUUCAGGAAACUGGGGCUAAUACCGGAUAGGAGCUCCUGCUGCAUGGUGGGGGUUGGAAAGUUUCGGCGGUUGGGGAUGGACUCGCGGCUUAUCAGCUUGUUGGUGGGGUAGUGGCUUACCAAGGCUUUGACGGGUAGCCGGCCUGAGAGGGUGACCGGCCACAUUGGGACUGAGAUACGGCCCAGACUCCUACGGGAGGCAGCAGUGGGGAAUAUUGCACAAUGGGCGGAAGCCUGAUGCAGCAACGCCGCGUGCGGGAUGACGGCCUUCGGGUUGUAAACCGCUUUCGCCUGUGACGAAGCGUGAGUGACGGUAAUGGGUAAAGAAGCACCGGCUAGCUACGUG
rnacentral:rRNA from 1 species